rnacentral:rRNA from 1 species
UGAUCUGAAAUCAGGUGGGAUUACCCGCUGAACUUAA